rnacentral:rRNA from 1 species
UGCGAGUCAUUGUAGUAAUACAAGGCAGACGGCUCAGUAACGCGUAGUCAACCUAACCUAUGGACGGGAAUAACCUCGGGAAACUGAGUAUAAUGCCCGAUAGAACAUUAUACCUGGAAUGGUUUAUGUUCCAAAUGAUUUAUCGCCGUAGGAUGGGACUGCGGCCUAUCAGUUUGUUGGUGAGGUAAUGGCCCACCAAGACUAUUACAGGUACGGGCUCUGAGAGGAGUAGCCCGGAGAUGGGUACUGAGACACGGACCCAGGCCCUAUGGGGCGCAGCAGGCGAGAAAACUUUGCAAUGUGCGAAAGCACGACAAGGUUAAUCCGAGUGGUUUCUGCUAAAGGAACCUUUUGUCGGUCCUAGAAACACCGAUGAAUAAGGGGUGGGCAAGUUCUGGUGUCAGCCGCCGCGGUAAAACCAGCACCUCAAGUGGUCAGGAUGAUUAUUGGGCCUAAAGCAUCCGUAGCCGGCUCUGUAAGUUUUCGGUUAAAUCUGUACGCUUAACGUACAGGCUGCCGGGAAUACUGCAGAGCUAGGGAGUGGGAGAGGUAGACGGUACUCGGCAGGAAGGGGUAAAAUCCUUUGAUCUAUUGAUGACCACCUGUGGCGAAGGCGGUCUACCAGAACACGUCCGACGGUGAGGGAUGAAAGCUGGGGGAGCAAACCGGAUUAGAUACCCGGGUAGUCCCAGCUGUAAACUAUGCAAACUCAGUGAUGCAUUGGCUUGUGGCCAAUGCAGUGCUGCAGGGAAGCCGUUAAGUUUGCCGCCUGGGAAGUACGUACGCAAGUAUGAAACUCAAAUGAAUUG